GUCCCCGUAGUUCAACGGAUAGAACGGAGUCCUCCUAAGACUCAAAUGUAGGUUCGAUUCCUGCCGGGGACGCCA
rnacentral:tRNA from 1 species